AACGAACGCUGGCGGCAGGCUUAACACAUGCAAGUCGAGCGAAGUCUUCGGAGUUAGUGGCGGACGGGUGAGUAACACGUGGGAACGUGCCUUUAGGUUCGGAAUAACUCAGGGAAACUCGUGCUAAUACCGAAUGUGCCCUUCGGGGGAAAGAUUUAUCGCCUUUAGAGCGGCCCGCGUCUGAUUAGCUAGUUGGUGAGGUAAAGGCUCACCAAGGCGACGAUCAGUAGCUGGUCUGAGAGGAUGAUCAGCCACAUUGGGACUAGGACACGGCCCAAACUCCUACGGGAGGCAGCAGUGGGGAAUCUUGCGCAAUGGGCGAAAGCCUGACGCAGCCAUGCCGCGUGAAUGAUGAAGGUCUUAGGAUUGUAAAAUUCUUUCACCGGGGACGAUAAUGACGGUACCCGGAGAAGAAGCCCCGGCUAACUUCGUGCCAGCCGCCGCCGUAAUAC
rnacentral:rRNA from 1 species